UUGCUUUGGCAGCACAUAUACUAAAAUUGGAAUGAAACAGAGAAGAUUAGCAUGGCCUCUGUGCAAGGAUGACAUGAAAAUUUGAAAAGCUUUGCAUAAAAAA